UGUCGUGUUGUAUAUGUUUCUACCUAGAAUGCAAUGAGUUGUAUGUACUCUAUCUAUAGAAUACAUAUUUGAGAGCCCACAAUGAUUCUCUAUCCUGCGCUCUCUCAAUCCUGUAUUUUCUUCUCUUUGAAUUCUACAUUGUAUGCCUUUAGAUUCAGCAGUUAUCUUCUCUCUUGCCACAACAUCGCAUAAUUCCUUAUAUUUUCUUCUCUCUUUUCCAUCAAUCAAUUUGCCCCGUUAAUUGCUCUUCCAAAAUAUGCCUUGAUUUCAGAAUUUUCUUCACUCUUUCCCACCCAUCAAUUGCCGCCCAUUAAUUGCUCUUCUAAACAUAUGUUUAAUUUCUCUUUCAAUCAUAUACGAAUCAAUCGAAUGUCAAUUAUCCAUGAUUUUGAGGUUGUGAGAUUUGUUUUCUCACUAGCCCGACGCAAUCGCCAUACAUUCGUCAACCACCCACUUUGAGGUUUCGGAUUUCAUCGUUGUCUCAACAUUCGAUUCUCCUUCACCUUCAUCUUCGGGUUUAUCAAUAUUCAAUUUUUGAGGUAUGUUCUUUAUGAUAUACUCACAUUCCAUUUAUUACCUGAUAAUUUUUUGAUGAAUUGUUGAUUGUAUUUUAUUGCGUGAGAUUUUCGGUGACAGAAGUUUUACUUUGUUUUAGUUUUUUAUUCAAAUAUACCAAUGCAUACCAACUAUUCGAUAAAAUGCCUAAGUAAUAUUGUGUAUUACUUUUUCUUCGAAUUUCAAGUGUCAAUAUGUGAAAUGUGGAGUUUAGUUAAUCUAUGACACUGUCCUAUUGAAUCGUGAAAGAGAACAAGAUUUCCAAGAAGAACAAGAUAUUAUUGAUCAUGAUAUUCUGGCUUCAUAACCCAAUAUGAUCCAGUGGGGUUUUUCUCCAAUGAAGCUCUCUCCUUGAGAAGAUUCUUGAACAAAGGCAAAUCUUUUGAAGAUGUCAUGUCUUUGAAGUGAUCCACUAUGCUGGCUGAAGUUGAGCUCCCACCUUUUUACUGAAUGAAAGAACGGAUUUGACGAAUCAGAAGUUGUGGAAGUACUCCAGAAUUUCUUGCUGAUCUAGAAUGCCCAUUAGCUGCUGACCGUUCUCUUCCAUUGCAGGGUGUACCGAUGGCUAGCUGAUGUGAUAAGUUAUCUGCAAUUCAUGUUAUAUAAAUGUUGGGUUAAUUUUAGUUUAUUUCCAGAUUUGGUUUAUAAAAUCAUCAUGAUUUAAUAACAACUUUGUUCAUGACCUUUACAUAUUGUGUUAAAUUUAUCAUCAAAUAUAACUUUCACUAGAAAGGUGAUAUCCUCGCAUCACACUUAUGUGUUAUUUUUAUCAAAACAUUAAGAAAUUAUGAGUUAUAUUUUGACAUUGGGUUGUCUUUGAUUUUCAGAUUUUGUUCCCAUAUGAAGAAUUCAUGGAAUUUCUCAAUUGGGAGAAGCCAGGCUAUCCUCCUUGUGGACUUAUAAAUGGUGGAAAUAACUGCUUCGCUAAUGUGGUUCCCCAGUGUCUUAUAUACACUUGUCAACAUGCUGGCUACAUCUUGGAGAAAGGCCACAAGAUAGAAUGUCAGAUGGAUAAAUGGUGUUUCCUGAGUGAUUUUCAAACUCAUGUAGAAAGGGCUAGCAAGAGUCAUACUGCAUUCAUUCCUAUUAGCAUUCACGAUUGAAUAAUACUGAUAGUAAUGUUGAGUGUGGGCAGCAGGAGGAUCCCAUGAGUUCAUGUGGUCAUUAUCAAACUAUUUAUUUAUUUAAUUAUAUUAUUAGCUUUUAUUGGACAUAUUCUUUUCACCUGUUAUACAAAUUUGGGGACAUAUUUGUAAUGUGAUUUUAGCUCUUUGGUAAGCAAUUACUAAUUCAAGUGGAUUUUGUAUUGCCAGAUUCGCAAUUGAUAAAAUGCUAUCUUAUCAUUGAUGAAUUUGGUGGAGAAAAGACUGCACAUCCUAGGUAUGAAGAGACGAGCUUGGUCCAACAUAUAUUUGGAGGUUGCCUCCAGUCUGAGGUUAUAUGCAGUAAAUGCAAUAAUGUAUCAAAUCGAUUUGAUCACAUGAUGGAUUUAACAGUUAACUCCAUGGGAUAAUGAGUCUUUGGAGGAGUGUUUGGAUCAAUUCACUGUCGAAGAUGUAGAUGUAUUCCAUAAAUCAGUCUCUAGAUACCAAGCUCAGGGAGAAAGCAAAGAGUCUGUUUUUAUCGCGAGUAAUCAGCUCGCUGAAGAUCUUCACCGACCGUGCAAUCUUGCAGACUUUUGUGGAAGCUCAGAACAGCGUGACAGACGCGUCCUUGAAGAAUGUAUUGAGCCUCGUGAGGUCGAUGUACGUUAUGGUGACGUUGGGUGAAGAUCAUGUGUUUAUCUGAUAUGGCUACUUAGCAACGGAUAAUGUUGCGACAUUGAGGAAAGAAGUUGCAAACCUUUGCAAUGAGAUCCGGCCGCACGCGCUUGCCUUGGUCACUUCUUUCAACAUCCCUGAUGUUUUUCUAAGUUCGACUAGGUUGCAACGAAUUCUUGGUCGGUGUCUUAAGACUAAGUUAGACCUGCGAUUCACUUCCUCUGCCAAGCUUGUAUUUUCUUAACUCUCGGAAUCAAAGGACUCACAAGGAAAGAUUAUCUAUCCUACAUAUGUAAUAGGAUAAUGACUUAUCCUAUAUGACAUUCUCAUAUCUCACCAUUUCAAAAUUCCUCAACUCCCUUCAUUUGCAUUUAUUCUUAUUAUAUACACUAGUGUACCACCCGCGCUAUGCGCGAUGAUUGUGAUUUUAAACUCACGUAAAUUGUGUAUAUACUUUAUAAUAAUUA